AUAAAAAUGUGGAAACAGACAGGAACAGCACCGGUCUGCAAUUCCCAGCGAGAUUGAUGCAGAAGGCGGGUGAUUUCUGCACUUCCAACUGAGAUGGUGCUGUAAUGGAAAUCCUUUAUUUGUGACUCUUGUGGCCUUGUGUGAGAGUUUUUUCCUAAGGUAUGUAACUUAAAAGUACAAGUGUCUGGUAACAAAGAAUGUAUAUAGUCAACCUUAUUGGAUAUUUUCAAAUUGCUCUCUAAAACUUAUACCAAUUUAUGUUCCUAAUAGCAAUACUACAGUUUAUUUCUCCAGAUUCUUGUUAAAACUUAAGUUUUAAAGUUUAGCUAAUCUUAUGGGUAUGAAAAAGUAUCUAAUUGUUUUAUACUUCUCUGAUUGAUGAUGAGACUGAAUCUUUUCAUAUUAUUUAUCAUUUGAGUUUAACAGAGUAGCUCUAAAAUUUUAAUAUGCACCAGAUUCACUUAGUGAGCUUGUUAAAACAAAGAGUGCAUGACCCCACUUCCAGAGUUUCUGAUUCAGUAGGUCUCAAGUGGGGACCUGAAAAUCUGGACUUCUAACAAGCACCUAGGAGAUGCUGCUAAUGCUGGUCAGAGGAUUACACUUGGAGAACCACAAUGUUCAAGGAACUGCCCGUUCAUUUCUUUUACUCAUCUAAAUAUGCGGAUAUUUAUCAGGCAGUCUGGAUACUAAUCCUCUAGUGGUUGAAAGUGCUGCUAAUAUCUUCUCCUAGUUGUAGCCUGUCUAUUCACUUUGUUUUUGAAGUCUUGUGAUAUCGAAGUUUGUCAUUUCCAGGCAGUCAAAUCUAUCAAUCUUUUCAUUCAUAAUCUGAGCUUUUGGUCUUUUGUUUUUGAAAUUUUCCCCUAUUUCAGUGUCAUAAAGAUAGUAUCCUAUAUUUUCUUUUUAAAGUUUAAAAAUUUUGUUUUUCAUGUGUGGGCCUUUAAUUCCUCUGGAAUUUAUUUUUCUGUAAGAUAUAAAGUAGGGACCUAACUAAAAAUUGUCCCAGUAUCACUUACUGAGUAUUUCACACUUUCUCUACUGAUUUUUUGUGCUACAUCUAUAUCAUGGGAUUCUUUAUUACAGAUGAAAAAGAAUGCCACUUUUAUGUUCAGCAUAUGAAAACGUCUUUCUCUGAGUUGGUAUUCAAUUUAGGAAAAAAACCUAACAAUUUUUAUUUUUGAGACGGAGUCUUGCUCUCUUGCCCAGGCUGGAGUGCAGUGGCACAAUCUUGGCUCACUGCAACCUCCACCUCCCAGGUUCAAGCAUUCUCCUGCCUCAGCCUCCUGAGUAGCUGGGAUUAUAGGCGUGUGCCACCACGCCCAGUUAAUUUUUGUAUUUUUAGUAGAGAUGGGGUUUCACCAUGUUGGUCGGGCUGGUCUUGAACUCCUGACCUCAAUGAUCUGCCCGCCUCGGCCUCCCAAAUUUCUGGGAUUACAGGCGUGAGCCACUGCGCCCGGCCUAACAAUUUAUCCUUAAGAUGGUCAUACAGCAAAAUGUAUGAUUCACUGACUCUUCUAGAACUUAUGUCAUAGAGACUUCUCAUAUAAGAAUAUCACCCAGUAACUGAUUAGCAGAGUAAUAAAAGUAGCUUUGAUGAAGCUUUUAUAAAUCUGAGGUUAAUAAGCAAGUCUCCUACUGACAAAUUAAUAAUAAAGAAUAACCCAUAUUACAUAAGACCUAUAAUAAGGAUAUGACAUAUAUAUAAAAUAGAUGAAUGAAGCAGCUGUUACUUGAAAUUGAUGUCUAUAUCAAGCAGUAAGCUAUAGUGGGUAAGGUAUAGGAUAUAGAAUUAGAAGACCCAGAUCUGAGUUCCAGAUUUGCCACUCAUUAGCUUUGUAAUAUUAGGCAAGCUUUUUAAGCUGAGUAUCAAUUUCAAAAUAUAAAACACAGCGACAAAAUGCUCAUAAUUUUUGUGAUAUAAAACUUAUGAUAGGUAGUGUUAUGUAAAUGUUAUUAUUUUAAAAAUAUGUUAUUGCUUAAAAUCAGAUCUUUGGCAGAAGAGUUUAUAAUUCAAAUUCUAUCAACAAGUAUAGAAAAUUUGAUGUGGCAAAGUAAGGCAUUUAAAACAUUAAAGUAGAAAAAAAUUUUUUUUUACAGAGAUAGGGUCUCACUCUGUCACCCAGGCUGGAGGGCAGUGGUACAAUCACAAAUCACUGCAGCCUCACAUAUUUUUUUAUGUAGCUGAAACAUUUAAAAUCUACUCUCAUACCCUGGGCAAUAUGGCAAAAUCCCUUCUUUACAAAAAAUACAAAAAUUAGCUGGUGUGGUGGUGCAUACCUGUAGUCUCAGCUACUUGGGAGGCUAAAGUGGUACAAUUGCUUGAGCCCACAGAGGUCAAAGCUGCAGUGAGCCAGGAUUGUGCCACUACAGCCUGGGUAACAGAGCAAGACCCUGUCUCAACAAAACAAAACAACCCACCCCCAAAACCCAAAAAACAACUCUUUUCACAAUUCUGAAAUAUACAACACAUUAUUGUUAUAAUAGACACCAUUCUGUGCAAUAGGGCACUACAGCUUAUUCUUCCUAUCUAACGAAAACUGUGUACCCUUUGAUCAACAUCUCCCCUUCCCAUAUCCCUCCCUGCCACCUCCCAGUCUCUGGUAAGCAUCAUUUUACUCUCUAUGUAUGUGAGUUCAACCUUUCUCGAUUCCAUAUAUAAGUGAGAUCAUGCAUUAUUUGUCUUUCUGUGCCUGGCUUAUUUCACUUAGUAUAAUGCCUUCUAGGUUAGUCCAUGUUGUUGUAAAUAACAGAAGUUCCCCCCUUUUAAGGCUGAAUACUACUUCAUUGUGUAUGUAUAAUUACAUUUUCUUUAUUCAUUCAUCUGAUGAUGGACACGUAGGUCGCUUCUGUAUCUUAGGUACUGUGAAUAAGGCUUCAACGAACUUAGGAGUAGGUAAGGCAUCUUUAAGAAAUUCAGGACGUAUUUCGCCUGGUAAUCUCCACUAACUUGGUUGGAAUACCACAAGAGCAAGAGUCCUCCAGAUUUUAUAGGUGACCAUCAGACUUGGUCACUCAUCAUUGAAGAUUAUGUUACACAAGUACUGGCUUCCCUUAGGGUGAGUGCAGAAAAGGGCAGAUACUAUUUUUUCCUAAGCUAUCGACAUAUAAUUGAAGUUAGUAAAUAUUUCUGACAACAGCUGUGCUACUAGAGAGAAAGAAAUAAUCAAUCUAAGCAGAAUAGUUCAGAAAUAACUUUCUCCAGGUUCGUCUGGGAACAAAAUGGGUAACUUUUCAUUUCUCUUCUGUCAUAAAGAAAUACCUGAAACAAUAUUCUAUAUUGCAAAUACUAAUUUUUCGGUGUUCCUGUUUGCUCCGGACAUCUGUUUCUGAACUGUCAAUACAUACCAGAUGGACUACAGAGAACCAGAGAGAGUUUUAAAUGUCUUAUUACCAGAACUUAAAGACCUUUAAGCAGAUGGUAAGGAACUAUGUUUUCAUUAUUUAUUGGCAUAAUAUUCAAUUUAAAAGUAGCCUAAAUGGAGAGAUCUGCUCCUGUUUUUAGGGACCACUGUGAAAAAGUGAAGCAUCAGGUUUAAGCCACAACUUCACAAAUGUUAAUGAAAAGUGAUUUCCCUUGUUUGAAAUCUGUAGUGAUUUGUUUCCUGUAACGACAAUCUUCCCUCUCAUGUUAUUCUGUUUGGUUUUGUUUUUUUAAGCAAGGUUAAAAAAGUGGGGAAGGGCUGAUGCUUAUAAAGAGCAUAACAAUUAGUACUUCACUGAGGAGCUUUCUUGCAAAUCCUUGAUGGUGAAAUUAUAUCUGAGGAUCAUUAUUUCCAGAAUUAGCAGAAAUGCUUGUUUGAGACUUAUAAACACCUUCCAAAGUACUGGCCAGGUUGACAAUAAAUGAGUUCUGGUGGAAGAUGAUCAAUCAGGGUAUCAUGUCCAUAAUUAGUCCAUGAAACUUUUCUUUUCAGAUUGGUAUCAGUAAAAAGUUUUUUUUUUUUUUUAAGUUUUAACUUUGUGUUUGGAAUAGUCAGCUUAAAUUCCAGAAACCUAAAUAAUCAAGUUUAACUGUUUCUUCAGUUGAGUUACCAUAUAUGGAGGGAACAUAAAUACACUAAUAAUUAUGCUUGAAUUUGUCUGCCCUUGAUUUAAGCUUCAAAAACAAAACUCCAAAAAGAAAUACUAAUUUUUCCCCCCUCAAGCGACACUGAUUCAGGAGCAGUUUCUAAAAGGACUCUUCUUCACCAGAUCACUAACAGAAGGAUCAAAAAGGAGAAAGUAUAAGGAUCAAAAGGGAGAAAAUAUAAAGCUUAUUCUGUUGCCUCUUUAAAUUUAUGGAAACAAUCAACAUACCUGAUAUUAUAUUCUCUCAGGCCCCAGCAGUUCUUCCACAGGAUUGAGUAAGGAAGAUAGAGAAAAAGGUCAGGUAUGAGGACUCUAUUUUCCAUGCUUGUUGCUUAGAAUUCUUAAUUUUCAGCAAUUUUCAGUUUCCUAACUUGUUAUGAGGACCACUGGGGGUGGCAGGGAUAAGUGAUUUUCUUUUAAGGGCUACCUACUAUAAACAAUGUAAGAGGAAAUUGUUUUUCUAUUCUCAGUUCUAGGGGGAGAGCAAUUUUUACUGUACUGUAUUAUCGUGAGGAUUUGCCCUUUUAUUUAUAAACCUAUUGAAUUAGGUAUAUAAAUGAAAAUGGCUUAAUUUUCUGUUCAAAAUAUUCUGCUCAAAGAUAAGGAGUAUGAUCUGAGUCAAUUUGAAAGACAUCAGUACUUAGAGAACAGUUAAGGAAAAGUGAUGCAAUGCUGACAAGCAAAUUUCAGCAAAACCCAAAACCUGUUUCUCACAAUGCUUCUCUUCCUAAUCCUGCUGGAUGACCUAGAGAAUUUACUGCAACCUAAAAACAAGCUAAACAAUAAAAAAAUUCCCUUUGAACUUCCCUCAACUAUAAUCAAGCCUGGAGAAAUUCCAAUAUUAAGAAGCCCCAAGGGGCUGCAACAUUAGCACUGACAAAUUCUUACUCCAAGAUAGACAUGUAAGAUAUUACUAAGUAGAUUCUGUGCUUAAUAUUGAGAAGUUUCUGCACAUAAAACUAAGAAAUGAUUAUAUUACAUUAUAAAAGAAAAAAGUAGGGACAUUCAUUGGUAAUUUUUAUGAAUGUGCUCUAAAAUAUAUUUCGGUUUUCUUAGCUAUUUAUAUUUGCCUGUUUAAUACUUUAAAGAAACUGAGUUCAUAAAUUGAUGAUAAAUCAAAAGAUAAAUCCGGAAAGAAACACAACUACAAUGAAUUUUUUAGAACUUAAUAGUAAAAAAGGAAGCUGAAUCUCUGAAACUGAGAUAAUGAAUAACACGGUAGAAAGUACCGUAGUAUCAUAGUAUCUUUGGCUUCAUAAGUGCCAAAGUAAGAACCAAAUGAAAUGCUUAGACAAGGGCAUACUGCUAAAACACUCAUAUAGUAGGAACUAUGGUUCAAAUAGCCAAAGGGUACCAAAGCCAAAAUAUUUCAGUCCCCUUGAAAUAGAAUUCAAAUGAGAGCCAUCUUAAGAACACAUCUUCCCAUUGUUAAAUUCUACAAAAACUGACCAUCAUAGGAUCAUCAUGUAACAUUCCCCUAAAUUCACUCUGAAUCACUCAGGAGAAGCCAAGGUUAUUAUCAAUGUUUCUGUGUGCUAUUUGAAAAGAUCACACAGUUCUACUAGCAGGUGGGGAUGGGUGGUGGUAUCAGCAAGAAGGAUAAGGUUUAGAUCUUUCUAGUCACUGUGUUUUUAACUUUUUUCAGCAUGUAAAAAAAUGAUGGUACUUGACAGUCCAGCUGCCACAAUGCUUUCAAAAAACUGGAUUUCUACUGGAUUCUUCAAGAUUACAAAGUUACAGCCUUAACAAACAGGUAGGCCAUUGAGAGGAAAAGUCAAUUCUUUAGUCUCUGUUUUCUCUGUUCCUAGUAACCUUUCCUUCUUUUCUCCCCUAGAGUUUACUUUUCUGCAAGUUUGAAAUGACUUAAAGUGCAAAGAUAGAAAAAUUAGAAUACUGUAAGAAUUCAUUUGUUUCCAUCAGAGCACACUUUUGUGUAUUAUGUCAUUCUUUGAAUAUAAACAUAUUAAUGAAAAUUGCAUUUCUUUCUGGUAAUGAUGAGAAAUUCCCAUCAUAUUUUUGAGACAAUGUAAUAAAUUUGAAAGCUAGC